rnacentral:tRNA from 1 species
GCCUACGUAGUAUAGUGGUGAGUAUCGGGGCCUCCCACGCCUCAGACCUGGGUUCAAAUCCCGGCGUAGGCA